rnacentral:rRNA from 1 species
GGUUAAGCGACUAAGCGUACACGGUGGAUGCCCUGGCAGUCAGAGGCGAUGAAGGACGUGCUAAUCUGCGAUAAGCGUCGGUGAGGUGAUAUGAACCGUUAUAACCGGCGAUUUCCGAAUGGGGAAACCCAGUGUGUUUCGACACACUAUCAUUAACUGAAUCCAUAGGUUAAUGAGGCGAACCGGGGGAACUGAAACAUCUAAGUACCCCGAGGAAAAGAAAUCAACCGAGAUUCCCCCAGUAGCGGCGAGCGAACGGGGAGCAGCCCAGAGCCUGAAUCAGUGUGUGUGUUAGUGGAAGCGUCUGGAAAGGCGCGCGAUACAGGGUGACAGCCCCGUACACAAAAAUGCACAUGCUGUGAGCUCGAUGAGUAGGGCGGGACACGUGGUAUCCUGUCUGAAUAUGGGGGGACCAUCCUCCAAGGCUAAAUACUCCUGACUGACCGAUAGUGAACCAGUACCGUGAGGGAAAGGCGAAAAGAACCCCGGCGAGGGGAGUGAAAAAGAACCUGAAACCGUGUACGUACAAGCAGUGGGAGCCUCUUAAUGGGGUGACUGCGUACCUUUUGUAUAAUGGGUCAGCGACUUAUAUUCUGUAGCAAGGUUAACCGAAUAGGGGAGCCGAAGGGAAACCGAGUCUUAACUGGGCGUUAAGUUGCAGGGUAUAGACCCGAAACCCGGUGAUCUAGCCAUGGGCAGGUUGAAGGUUGGGUAACACUAACUGGAGGACCGAACCGACUAAUGUUGAAAAAUUAGCGGAUGACUUGUGGCUGGGGGUGAAAGGCCAAUCAAACCGGGAGAUAGCUGGUUCUCCCCGAAAGCUAUUUAGGUAGCGCCUCGUGAAUUCAUCUCCGGGGGUAGAGCACUGUUUCGGCAAGGGGGUCAUCCCGACUUACCAACCCGAUGCAAACUGCGAAUACCGGAGAAUGUUAUCACGGGAGACACACGGCGGGUGCUAACGUCCGUCGUGAAGAGGGAAACAACCCAGACCGCCAGCUAAGGUCCCAAAGUCAUGGUUAAGUGGGAAACGAUGUGGGAAGGCCCAGACAGCCAGGAUGUUGGCUUAGAAGCAGCCAUCAUUUAAAGAAAGCGUAAUAGCUCACUGGUCGAGUCGGCCUGCGCGGAAGAUGUAACGGGGCUAAACCAUGCACCGAAGCUGCGGCAGCGACACUAUGUGUUGUUGGGUAGGGGAGCGUUCUGUAAGCCUGUGAAGGUGGCCUGUGAGGGUUGCUGGAGGUAUCAGAAGUGCGAAUGCUGACAUAAGUAACGAUAAAGCGGGUGAAAAGCCCGCUCGCCGGAAGACCAAGGGUUCCUGUCCAACGUUAAUCGGGGCAGGGUGAGUCGACCCCUAAGGCGAGGCCGAAAGGCGUAGUCGAUGGGAAACAGGUUAAUAUUCCUGUACUUGGUGUUACUGCGAAGGGGGGACGGAGAAGGCUAUGUUGGCCGGGCGACGGUUGUCCCGGUUUAAGCGUGUAGGCUGGUUUUCCAGGCAAAUCCGGAAAAUCAAGGCUGAGGCGUGAUGACGAGGCACUACGGUGCUGAAGCGACAAAUGCCCUGCUUCCAGGAAAAGCCUCUAAGCAUCAGGUAACAUCAAAUCGUACCCCAAACCGACACAGGUGGUCAGGUAGAGAAUACCAAGGCGCUUGAGAGAACUCGGGUGAAGGAACUAGGCAAAAUGGUGCCGUAACUUCGGGAGAAGGCACGCUGAUAUGUAGGUGAAGCGACUUGCUCGUGGAGCUGAAAUCAGUCGAAGAUACCAGCUGGCUGCAACUGUUUAUUAAAAACACAGCACUGUGCAAACACGAAAGUGGACGUAUACGGUGUGACGCCUGCCCGGUGCCGGAAGGUUAAUUGAUGGGGUUAGCGGCAACGCGAAGCUCUUGAUCGAAGCCCCGGUAAACGGCGGCCGUAACUAUAACGGUCCUAAGGUAGCGAAAUUCCUUGUCGGGUAAGUUCCGACCUGCACGAAUGGCGUAAUGAUGGCCAGGCUGUCUCCACCCGAGACUCAGUGAAAUUGAACUCGCUGUGAAGAUGCAGUGUACCCGCGGCAAGACGGAAAGACCCCGUGAACCUUUACUAUAGCUUGACACUGAACAUUGAGCCUUGAUGUGUAGGAUAGGUGGGAGGCUUUGAAGUGUGGACGCCAGUCUGCAUGGAGCCGACCUUGAAAUACCACCCUUUAAUGUUUGAUGUUCUAACGUGGGCCCGUAAUCCGGGUUGCGGACAGUGUCUGGUGGGUAGUUUGACUGGGGCGGUCUCCUCCUAAAGAGUAACGGAGGAGCACGAAGGUUGGCUAAUCCUGGUCGGACAUCAGGAGGUUAGUGCAAUGGCAUAAGCCAGCUUGACUGCGAGCGUGACGGCGCGAGCAGGUGCGAAAGCAGGUCAUAGUGAUCCGGUGGUUCUGAAUGGAAGGGCCAUCGCUCAACGGAUAAAAGGUACUCCGGGGAUAACAGGCUGAUACCGCCCAAGAGUUCAUAUCGACGGCGGUGUUUGGCACCUCGAUGUCGGCUCAUCACAUCCUGGGGCUGAAGUAGGUCCCAAGGGUAUGGCUGUUCGCCAUUUAAAGUGGUACGCGAGCUGGGUUUAGAACGUCGUGAGACAGUUCGGUCCCUAUCUGCCGUGGGCGCUGGAGAAUUGAGGGGGGCUGCUCCUAGUACGAGAGGACCGGAGUGGACGCAUCACUGGUGUUCGGGUUGUCAUGCCAAUGGCACUGCCCGGUAGCUAAAUGCGGAAGAGAUAAGUGCUGAAAGCAUCUAAGCACGAAACUUGCCCCGAGAUGAGUUCUCCCUGACCCUUUAAGGGUCCUGAAGGAACGUUGAAGACGACGACGUUGAUAGGCCGGGUGUGUAAGCGCAGCGAUGCGUUGAGCUAACCGGUACUAAUGAACCGUGAGGCUUAACCUU